CUCAUACCCAUGUGUGUAGGACUCCAAACGAUCGUCAUUAAAUUUGGUACAGAUCUCUAGAAAAGUUAUCACAUGUGUGUGGGAUUUGAUUUUUCUAGAGAUCUGUGUCAAAUUUAAUGGUGAUCAUUUGGGGUCCUACACAUAUGGGUGUGGG
rnacentral:pre_miRNA from 1 species